AUUGGCCAAAAGAUAGAGUGUGUCCCCAAGCAAGGCCAAUCAGAAUCCUCCUCUGGAAAAAUACGAGCCACUCACGUGUGGGCACUGCCAAGGCUGCAGGGCUGACCCAGCACGUGGAGACGGCAGGAUCAGGGAUGUGAGAGAGAGGGCAAGACCUCCGCUAAAGAAGAGACAAGCAGACGUGAGAGUCUGGGGGAGUGCCUUGGGAUUUUGAGCGCCUGAGGCUGUGGUUGCUUCCUUGGGUCUAUGAGCCAGAGCCUUCCAGGCCACAUGAAGCCUAACUCUCCUGGAGCUGGGGUGAACUAGGGUCUGUUACUCAACUGAGAGAGGCCAGGUUAAGACAAUAUUUCCGUCUCCCCUGUAGAAAUGAGGGCUACUUGAGGGAAGGGACUGGGGCUUCUUCAUCUCUAUUGAGAGGUGAAGCAAGCUGGACUUCCUGCAUAAAGGGCGGACUUGGAGAACUUUUCUGUCUAGCUAAAGGAAUGUAAAUGCACCAAGCAGCGCUCUGUAUCUAGCUAACGCUUUGUAAACGCACCAAUCAGCACUCUGUAAAAACGGACCUAUCAGCUCUCUGUAAAAUGGACCAGUCAACGCUCUAUAAAAUGGACCAAUCAGCAGGAUGUGGGCGGGGCCAAAUAAGGAAAUAAACGCUGGUCCCUAGAGCCCGCAACAGCAACCAGCUCAGGUCCCUUUCCAAGCUGGGAAGCUUUGUUCUUUCUCUUUGCUCUUCCUAAUAAAUCUUGCUGCUGCUCACUCUUUGGGUCUGCAUUACCUUUAUGAGGUGUAACACUCACUGCAGAGGUCUGCCGCUUCCCUCCUGAAGUCAGGGAGACCGCAAACCCACUGGAAGGGAGAAACUCCGGACACAUCUGAACAUCUGAAGGAACAAACUCCGGACAUGCCAUCUUUAAGAACUGUAACACUCACGGCUAGGAUCUGCAGCUUCAUUCUUGAAGUCCGCGAGACCAAGAACCCACCGGAAGGAAUAAAUUCUGAACGCACUAGUGCAGUGCCUGAAGGCAUCAGCUCUGGACCUAUGUGGUCACGCCUCUCUGUGCUGCUCACUGGGCGCCUUUUGCUCAACCCCAUCCCGCCCUUGCAGAGACCACCGAUGAUCCAGAAUCGAGGAUGAUCCAACCAGGGCCAGAGCUGACCAUUCCACGCUGCUUGGUGACAAGGUUUGCUGAGCAAAUAAGUACUGAAAAUAAGAUGACAGCAGAUGUGUAGAAUGAAUGAAAAGAAGGAGUGCCAGGCCCUCCAGCCGCAUCACACCCAGUGAAAGCUUCCCAAACCUGCCAAGCGCUCUCACACCUCGCUGCCAGAAACUCCUCUUUCCUCCCCUGCCUCUGCUGUGGGAAAUCCUUCCCACCCGUCAUUCUUCAAUCAAUUCAUUGUAUUAAGCAUCUCCUCUGGGAAUUCUUUUCCAACGGUGCUCCUCCCUGGGGGUUAAUCCUUCCUUCCUUUGGCUUCCUGUCUUGCUACCUCUGCCAUAG
rnacentral:lncRNA from 1 species